UACGUAGGGGGCAAGCGUUGUCCGGAUUUAUUGGGCGUAAAGAGCGUGUAGGCGGCCAAGCAGGUCCGCUGUGAAAACUCGAGGCUCAACCUCGAGACGUCGGUGGAAACCGUUUGGCUAGAGUCCGGAAGAGGAGAGUGGAAUUCCCGGUGUAGCGGUGAAAUGCGCAGAUAUCGGGAAGAACACCCGUGGCGAAGGCGGCUCUCUGGGACGGUACUGACGCUGAGACGCGAAAGCGUGGGGAGCAAAUAGG
rnacentral:rRNA from 1 species